CCCUAGCGCGCUCGCUCCCUCUCGUCCCACUCGCCACAUUUAAAUGCGGCGGUCAUGGCGCGCACCAACGACGCCUUUGACCGACUCAGGAUUUUAAACGUUUUAUAUAUUUAAAUUAUAUUUAAAUUAUAUUCGCGUUUAUUUUUUCUUUGCUUGAACCGCUGCAAGCCGACGACUACAAACAUCGCGACCGCUGCUCGCUUUGACCAACCACGUGGCCGCCGUGGUGCUGCGAAAAGGAGGAGGAGGAGGAAGAAGACGAAGGAGGAGGAGGAGGAGACGACCCGGGAACUCGCGCUGAAGAGCGCGGGCUUUCAUCAUCCAUCGAGCCCCGUCACUCGGGCCCGUUCGACCGUCUCGGCAAUCUGCGACGCACGGGACGCAGGCCGCGAGCAGAUGCACGAGAGGAGAGCGCUCGACGGCCGAUGACGGGGAACUCGUUACGAUAAUUCCGUAACGAACGCCGGCGUCGUCGAUUCCACGCCAUUCCUUUUUUUUUUCGUUCACUUCAAAAUGUGCCACUUGCGCGACGUGGGGCACGUGGGCUGUGUCGCGAACGUUCGCGACCGCGAGGCAAGGCGACGACGAUUCGUCAGAAUUCAGAAUCCGAUUGUUGAUUUAUACCGCGUGGGGGGAGCAAUCCGACUGACCGACAAAGCUCUCUUGUCACAGAUGUCCCAGUAGGGGCACGGGGUCAGAACGUUUACAGCAGCAGCAACAACAACAUCAACAACAAACAUCGCCACGGGUAGGUGAUCAACCACGGAAGCUGCCGAGAGUCACCGAUCGUCGGUCACUCCCGGACAGAUUCCGCGUAGCCCCAAAGCCAUCAUCAUCAUCAUCUCACAACCCCGGAAACUUCACCCUCCACCCCACCACCACAACGACUCCCUUGCUCCUUGCUCCUGCAUCACCCCCACUCCCUGCCCGCCGACGGUGCACCGCUACCCACGUGGCGGGAUCCUUCCUGUUCUCCGGCUGGCUUGGGGUGGGGGAGGCGGCAGAGGAUCCGCGUUCGCCGCUGGCUGCGUCAUCGUUGUGCCGAACGCGAUCGUUGCAGAACUUUUGGCGAUUCGUUCUUUCAGGGUUCCCACACCCCCAUCCCGCGCAAGACUUGGUCGCAGAGUGAAAUAACACAGCGCCCUCUUGUACACGCGUCGAUUUAAUCGAUUGGGCCCCCUUGACGUGGACUCGCGCUCUCUCUCUCUCUCUCACUCUCUCUUUCUCUCGUUCACCGAGUUGCAAAACACUCAAAAGAGUUUGAGAUUCGAGCUCUCGACUUGCGCCAAACCAUCGCGAGGACUCCACUUCCACGUGGCUGGCAGUGGCAGCAGCGGCACUUCGGCAUCAGCGAUACCAGUCGCCCAUCACAUCUGUGUGAAGAGGAGGCAGCUCGUAAUCACUGGUUUGGACGGAGGAGUUGAGGACGCCACGAUCACAAGCAGCGAGACGCCGAAGAAUUGGCGGAAGCGCGCAGCAUCAGAAGUGCGAGUCACAGCAGCAGCAUCAGCAUCAUCAUCAGAAGCGCCAGCCACAGCAGCAUCAUCAGCAGCACCAGCCAGAGCAGCCGCAGCAUCAGCGGCGUCAUCAUCAACAGCAGCAGCAUCAUCAGCAGCAGCGCCAGGCACAUCUGCAGCACACUGUCUCGCUCUCAAAUCUCUAAAAUCUCUCGAUCUCCGCACACACACACAUAGACACACAAACACAGACACACACACA